GCCGGUGUGAUGGAAUGGUAGACGUAGCGGAUUCAAAAUCCGCCGGGGGCAACUCCAUGUGGGUUCGAGUCCCACCACCGGCACCA
rnacentral:tRNA from 1 species